CCUACGGGGCGCAGCAGUGAGGAAUAUUGGUCAAUGGGCGAGAGCCUGAACCAGCCAAGUCGCGUGAGGGAAGACGGUCCUAUGGAUUGUAAACCUCUUUUGCCGGGGAGCAAAAAGCGGUACGUGUACCGCAUCGAGAGUACCCGGAGAAAAAGCAUCGGCUAACUCCGUGCCAGCAGCCGCGGUAAUACGGAGGAUGCGAGCGUUAUCCGGAUUUAUUGGUUUUAAAGGGUGCGUAGGCGGAUCGUUAAGUCAGUGGUCAAAUUGAGGGGCUCAACCCCUUCCCGCCAUUGAAACUGGCGCUCUUGAGUGGAAGAGAAGUAUGCGGAAUGCGUGGUGUAGCGGUGAAAUGCAUAGAUAUCACGCAGAACCCCGAUUGCGAAGGCAGCAUGCCGGCUUCCGACUGACGCUGAAGCACGAAAGCGUGGGGAUCGAACAGGAUUAGAUACCCCAGUAGUC
rnacentral:rRNA from 1 species